ensembl:lncRNA
AGAGGGGGCGCUCUUGGCUUUAGCUCCAAACGCCGGUUUGGGAGAGUAUUGUGAAGGUCUUCCGUUUUGCCGCCUCUGCAUUCUUUCCGGGCAGUAGAGUAUGGGCUGUGCUCCUUGCGGGAUUGCUAACUUAUGUUGAGGGACUUCUUGGGAGGCUCUGCUCUCAGCUUUGUCUACAUGAGCUCAUGUUAUCUUCACCACCAUCCCAUGAGCACCUUCCAGGCUAUGAGGAUAAUCAAAAAGAAGUGAUGGUGUGUUGCUUGAGUCUAAACAGCCUCCUGCCUUCCCUCCUCUCCUCCUUCCAUGUUUCUCCUCCUCCUCUCAGUGUCUCUCUCUACCUCUCCCUCUUUCUCCUUAGUUUUUGCCCAUGUUUAUAAUUAGGUGGAUGCUGUACGAGACAGUAGGAAUGUAAAUAAGAAUAGCUAUUCCUGCCCUUGAGGAACUUGCAGCUACUAGGAGGAAAAGACACAGAGGAAAUUCAAAUACCAUUUGAAGUACGGAGACCUCCAGGAACACCGAAGAAAGAUACCCUAAUCAGACAGUAAGGUCCAGCUCUGGCAUAAGAGAAAGCCCCUGAGGAAGGCCCCAGCCUGAGAAGGCUCUGGAAGGACAAGCCUGCACUGAGUUCUCUGAGCACAGGGCUCCAGGCUCUGAAAGAUCUCGGAAGCAGAGGCAGAAGGCAGAGGUAUCACCAGGAAGAUGCUCGGUGUCCUCAACCCAACCUCCAAGGCGAGACAAAGCCCAGUCAAAAGCAGCAGUGGGGUCUUCCAUGAUGGUCCAGUAACUAGAAGCUCCACGCCCCCAAUGCAGGGGGCCCAGGUUCCAUCCCUGGGCAGCGACCUAGAUCCCAUAUGCCUCAACUAAAGGUCCCACAUGCCACAACUAAAACCUGGCCCAGUCAAAUAAGUCAACAAACAUUAAAAAAAAAAAUCGGCAGUGCCCAACCACUGCACCAGCCCUACCCAGUACCUCUA